rnacentral:rRNA from 1 species
UCGCGAAAACUCCGCAAUGUGGGCAACCACGACGGGGGAACUCCCAGUGCGAACACUUUGUGUUCGCUGUUCUCGUGCCUAAAAAGCACGAGAAGUAAGGGCCGGGUAAGACGGGUGCCAGCCGCCGCGGUAAUACCCGCGGCCCGAGUGGUGCUCAUUAUUAUUGAGUCUAAAACGUCCGUAGCCGGUCAGGUAGAUUUCUGGGUAAAUCCAACCGCUCAACGGUUGGAAUUCCGGGGAGACCGCCUGACUAGGGACCGGGAGAGGCGCGAGGUACUCCUGGGGUAGGGGUAAAAUCCUGUAAUCCUAGGAGGACCACCAGUGGCGAAGGCGUCGCGCUAGAACGGAUCCGACGGUCAGGGACGAAGCCCAGGGGCGCAAACGGG